UACGAAGGGGGCUAGCGUUGCUCGGAAUCACUGGGCGUAAAGCGCACGUAGGCGGACUCUUAAGUCAGGGGUGAAAUCCUGGAGCUCAACUCCAGAACUGCCUUUGAUACUGGGAGCCUUGAGUUCGAGAGAGGUGAGUGGAACUGCGAGUGUAGAGGUGAAAUUCGUAGAUAUUCGCAAGAACACCAGGGGCGAAGGCGGCUCACUGGCUCGAUACUGACGCUGAGGUGCGAAAGCGUGGGAGCAAACAGG
rnacentral:rRNA from 1 species